rnacentral:rRNA from 1 species
GGAGCGUUCUGUAAGCCUGCGAAGGUGUGCUGUGAGGCAUGCUGGAGGUAUCAGAAGUGCGAAUGCUGACAUAAGUAACGAUAAAGCGGGUGAAAAGCCCGCUCGCCGGAAGACCAAGGGUUCCUGUCCAACGUUAAUCGGGGCAGGGUGAGUCGACCCCUAAGGCGAGGCCGAAAGGCGUAGUCGAUGGGAAACAGGUUAAUAUUCCUGUACUUGGUGUUACUGCGAAGGGGGGACGGAGAAGGCUAUGUUGGCCGGGCGACGGUUGUCCCGGUUUAAGCGUGUAGGCUGGUUUUCCAGGCAAAUCCGGAAAAUCAAGGCUGAGGCGUGAUGACGAGGCACUACGGUGCUGAAGCAACAAAUGCCCUGCUUCCAGGAAAAGCCUCUAAGCAUCAGGUAACAUCAAAUCGUACCCCAAACCGACACAGGUGGUCAGGUAGAGAAUACCAAGGCGCUUGAGAGAACUCGGGUGAAGGAACUAGGCAAAAUGGUGCCGUAACUUCGGGAGAAGGCACGCUGAUAUGUAGGUGAAGCGACUUGCUCGUGGAGCUGAAAUCAGUCGAAGAUACCAGCUGGCUGCAACUGUUUAUUAAAAACACAGCACUGUGCAAACACGAAAGUGGACGUAUACGGUGUGACGCCUGCCCGGUGCCGGAAGGUUAAUUGAUGGGGUCAGCGCAAGCGAAGCUCUUGAUCGAAGCCCCGGUAAACGGCGGCCGUAACUAUAACGGUCCUAAGGUAGCGAAAUUCCUUGUCGGGUAAGUUCCGACCUGCACGAAUGGCGUAAUGAUGGCCAGGCUGUCUCCACCCGAGACUCAGUGAAAUUGAACUCGCUGUGAAGAUGCAGUGUACCCGCGGCAAGACGGAAAGACCCCGUGAACCUUUACUAUAGCUUGACACUGAACAUUGAGCCUUGAUGUGUAGGAUAGGUGGGAGGCUUUGAAGUGUGGACGCCAGUCUGCAUGGAGCCGACCUUGAAAUACCACCCUUUAAUGUUUGAUGUUCUAACGUGGACCCGUAAUCCGGGUUGCGGACAGUGUCUGGUGGGUAGUUUGACUGGGGCGGUCUCCUCCUAAAGAGUAACGGAGGAGCACGAAGGUUGGCUAAUCCUGGUCGGACAUCAGGAGGUUAGUGCAAUGGCAUAAGCCAGCUUGACUGCGAGCGUGACGGCGCGAGCAGGUGCGAAAGCAGGUCAUAGUGAUCCGGUGGUUCUGAAUGGAAGGGCCAUCGCUCAACGGAUAAAAGGUACUCCGGGGAUAACAGGCUGAUACCGCCCAAGAGUUCAUAUCGACGGCGGUGUUUGGCACCUCGAUGUCGGCUCAUCACAUCCUGGGGCUGAAGUAGGUCCCAAGGGUAUGGCUGUUCGCCAUUUAAAGUGGUACGCGAGCUGGGUUUAGAACGUCGUGAGACAGUUCGGUCCCUAUCUGCCGUGGGCGCUGGAGAACUGAGGGGGGCUGCUCCUAGUACGAGAGGACCGGAGUGGACGCAUCACUGGUGUUCGGGUUGUCAUGCCAAUGGCACUGCCCGGUAGCUAAAUGCGGAAGAGAUAAGUGCUGAAAGCAUCUAAGCACGAAACUUGCCCCGAGAUGAGUUCUCCCUGACUCCUUGAGAGUCCUGAAGGAACGUUGAAGACGACGACGUUGAUAGGCCGGGUGUGUAAGCGCAGCGAUGCGUUGAGCUAACCGGUACUAAUGAACCGUGAGG